ACGAAACGGCGAGCUCUAAUACAGUUUGCUAAUGACGGUACCGUAAGAAUAAGCACCGGCUAACUACGUGCCAGCAGCCGCGGUAAUACGUAGGGUGCGAGCGUUAAUCGGAAUUACUGGGCGUAAAGCGUGCGCAGGCGGUGAUGUAAGACAGAUGUGAAAUCCCCGGGCUCAACCUGGGACCUGCAUUUGUGACUGCAUCGCUAGAGUACGGCAGAGGGGGAUGGAAUUCCGCGUGUAGCAGUGAAAUGCGUAGAUAUGCGGAGGAACACCGAUGGCGAAGGCAAUCCCCUGGGCCUGUACUGACGCUCAUGCACGAAAGCGUGGGGAGCAAACAGGAUUAGAUACCCUGGUAGUCCACGCCCUAAACGAUGUCAACUGGUUGUUGGGUCUUCACUGACUCAGUAACGAAGCUAAC
rnacentral:rRNA from 1 species